rnacentral:rRNA from 1 species
UACGGAGGGGGCUAGCGUUGUUCGGAAUUACUGGGCGUAAAGCGCACGUAGGCGGCUUUGCAAGUUAGAGGUGAAAGCCCGGGGCUCAACUCCGGAAUUGCCUUUAAAACUGCAUCGCUAGAAUUGUGGAGAGGUAAGUGGAAUUCCGAGUGUAGAGGUGAAAUUCGUAGAUAUUCGGAAGAACACCAGUGGCGAAGGCGACUUACUGGACACAUAUUGACACUGAGGUGCGAAAGCGUGGGGAGCAAACAGG